rnacentral:rRNA from 1 species
UGGUCUUAGCUUGCUAAGGCCGAUGGCGACCGGCGCACGGGUGAGUAACACGUAUCCAACCUGUCGUCUACUCUUGGACAGCCUUCUGAAAGGAAGAUUAAUACAAGAUGGCAUCAUGAGUCCGCAUGUUCACAUGAUUAAAGGUAUUCCGGUAGACGAUGGGGAUGCGUUCCAUUAGAUAGUAGGCGGGGUAACGGCUCACCAAACCUUCGAUGGAUAGGGGUUCUGAGAGGAAGGUCCCCACAUUGGUACUGAGACACGGACCAAACUCC